AAAUAUCACGUGAAAGUAUAAUUGCUGUCAAGGCCAGACAGAUCCAACAGUGCAAACAGUGAAACAGAAAAUGCAGACUACAGAGUAUUGAUGCUGAACUGGGAAUGACAGCAGGAAUGGAGUAUUGCUUACCAGUAGUCCAAUCUCAAAGGGAUGGCUUCCAAGGCACUGAUCUGGCAGUACGGCUCAAAGUUGGAAAGUUCGUACAACUGGAUUUCGCGAUCACUGUCAGACAAAUUUUAAACAGACUCCUGUAACUGUCAGCUGUUUACAACAACAGCGAUAACCCUGCAGCAAUGACACACCAAGAGCAAUGGAAACUCCUAUACAACUGUGAACCUUAGUGGAGUAUAUCAUCUUUCCGCAAGGACUACUUUUCAGCUAGGAGCUGCUGGAGCAAAUGAAAGGAACAGACAUUUUCACCAAAAUAAAAUGCAUCAGAGAUUUCAGGUCCUCAUGCAAGCAAGUGUAGCUAAAAUGAUCUUGGGGAUUAAAACAACAGCUAGUCAUUCCCAGGAGUAUUACACUGUAUGAACAAUAUAUUUCUAUGUGCUUCCUGUAGACUAAGGAAUAUAAUAGUUCUACAGAUAUUUUUUAUUGCUUUUAACUCAUUAUUAAACAGAUCUGUAAUUUUUGUGGCUUAUAGGUACUGCAGUUAAACUACCUGAAGGUUCAAAUUAUGAGACUGUUGAUCAUGAUACUGCCACAUUUAAAAAAGAAGUCUUUUUUAAUGCCACAUUAUGCUUAUAAUUUGUAAACCUGCAUGAGGUUCUGGAUCAUUCUAGAACUUUCUUGUUCCCACUCAUUUUCAAUUAAACUCACCUUUUUUUUAA